ACAUACUGAAGCAGCAUCUGAGGUGGGGAAGGACUGGGUUCUUUACAGGCUCAAGCUCUAUAAACCUGACUGGUUCAGCUGAAGGACUGCUGGGUGGCUUCCUCACAGCCACUAGACCCUCCUGUAGAGCAGCUUUAGACCAUGUCACCUGUUGGUACUUUGUGUCCCAAAGGUCAAGAUGUGCAGCAAGAGCUCAUCGUGCUGCUCUGCCAAAGAGAGCUCACCUAGUAAUUUAAUCUGUUUGGGUUUCUGAUUUCAUAAGCCUUUUUUUUUUUUUUAAGGCUGGAAAAGUAGAGAUGCAAUCCCUAAACUGGUUGCUGACUACAUGGAGAAAAAGUUUGUUCUGGAUCCGUUAAUAACCCACACGCUGCCUUUCAGUAAAAUCAAUGAGGGAUUUGAUCUGCUGCAGAAAGGGAAGAGCAUUCGCAGCGUGCUGGUGUUUUAGGAUCCAAACACACAACCGCAGCACUGUGCAUAGCGCCAUGCAGCACGACGCGAGGCAUUCCGGGAACGUCUGGCACCCUUGAGUAAAGCAGAUCGAGCUCUAAACCCAAACUUGGAGGCACAGCAUUUAUAAAGGAAAUAAAUCAUUCUUCC